UACGUAGGGGGCAAGCGUUGUCCGGAAUCAUUGGGCGUAAAGAGCGUGUAGGCGGCUCGGUAAGUCCGCUGUGAAAGUCCAGGGCUCAACCCUGGAAUGCCGGUGGAAACUGUCGAGCUAGAGUCCGGAAGAGGCGAGUGGAAUUCCUGGUGUAGCGGUGAAAUGCGCAGAUAUCAGGAGGAACACCAAUGGCGAAGGCGGCACUCUGGGACGGUACUGACGCUGAGACGCGAAAGCGUGGGGAGCGAACAGG
rnacentral:rRNA from 1 species